rnacentral:rRNA from 1 species
UACGGAGGGUGCGAGCGUUGUUCGGAAUCACUGGGCGUAAAGGGCGUGUAGGCGGUCCGCUAAGUCUGAUGUGAAAGCCCGGGGCUCACCCCCGGAAGGGCAUUGGAAACUGACGGACUCGAGUCCCGAAGAGGGAGGGUGGAAUUCCUGGUGUAGCGGUGAAAUGCGUAGAUAUCAGGAGGAACACCGGUGGCGAAGGCGGCCCUCUGGACGGUGACUGACGCUGGAGACGCGAAAGCGUGGGGAGCAAACAGG